rnacentral:lncRNA from 1 species
UGGAAUGAGAAGGAAAAACGAAACAAUACUGUGAUAUCCUUCAAUAAGUCAUUGCUAUGGGUGGUUAUUGUGUAGUGUAUGGCUGCAAAAAUAGAGGUGGACACAAGUUUCCAAAGGAUCCGGGGCUUAAGAAGGUCUGGCUAGCAAGAAUAAGGCGAGAGGCAACUUUCAAGCCAUCUGAACAUAGCAGAGUGUGCCAUGCACAUUUUGUCACUGAAGAUUAUGUUGGAAGGACAUAUGUUGGAGAUCUACCAAAAAGCUUCAGCUGAAACCAGGUGCGGUGCCAUCAAAGUUCAAGUGGAAAAUUAACCAGAGAUGCCGCAGAAAUACUGCCAUUGGGCGUGAGCUAGGGGCUCUGUCAAGGAACCAAGAAAGGGGCAACUCAGAAGAUGAAAGUGAGCUUCCCCAAGAGGCCGAUUAUCUGAGCAGCCUUGUGCAAGAAGAAGAUGUGGAGGAAGAAUCAGAGACCUCGGUUCCCGAGCAAAUCUUUUUUAAAGAUGUGCUAUCUGUUGUUGAGGUGGAAGUGGGUGAUGUUGAUGCAGGUGUGGCAGAAACACCUGAGACACCAACACUUGCUGGCAGCAGCACAGCAGAGCUGUUGAAUGACAGUGCAUCUGGUAUAGAGGCUACAGUUGAACCAGACGAUGCCCAGUUAUCUACUAAUGACAAGGCCAUUCAGUGUGACAUGCGUAGUGGUUACAUUGAUUUUGCAAAGCUUAAGGGCUCAGAUAUUAAAUCACUGACUGGGUUUGAUGAUAUUGAAACAUUCCACAUGCUCCUGUAUAUUCUGCACCCAGCAUACCAGAAGGAGCGUGCAACUAAGCGGUACACCACUGCGUCUUUGGGUUUUGAGAAUGAUGUCCUUCUCACUGUAACCAAGCUGCGCAACAACCUCACCAACAGCUUUCUGGCAACCAUGUUUGACGUCAGCACAUCACAAGUAACUAGGGUUUUCAUAAGGAUGGUGAAGUUCAUGGACGGUGUGUUCCGUCAGGUAGAUAUUUGGCCCUCAAAGUAUGAUCACAACAAGCCAGUCGUCAUCAUUGAUUGCACGGAGGUCAGAAUUCAACGCCCGGCAGAUCCAACCCUUCAGUCAAAGACCUAUUCUACUUACAAAAGCGGCAAUACUGUCAAAAUUUUGCUAGGUAUUACCAUGGAGGGUGGCAUUUCUUUCGUGUCUGAUGCCUUUUCUGGCAGUUCAUCCGAUCAGAAAGUUUUUGUGAAGUCUGGUAUCGUAGACAAGCUUCAGCCGGGUGACAUAGUAAUGGCAGACCGUGGAUUCAACGUACAGGAUAUCCUCGCCACGCGGGACAUUCGUGUGGUAACACCAGCAUUCCUAAGAGGUAGGGCACAACUGUCACCCGCGGAGGUAGCAGUCAGCCGGGCAAUAACCAAAGACCGUAUCCACGUUGAGCGUGUGAUCGGUCUCACGAAAACCUAUCAGCUGUUGAAAGGCACGAUCAACUCUGCCUACGUGCAGUAUGUGAGUGAACUAUACUACGUCGCCGCGUUUUUGUGUAGCCUGCGACCAGCUAUCCUAUAGGGCCAACUUCCGACUGUAGGGCCGAUAUCAUCAAUCAGUGUGUGCGCAUUUCAUGACGAGCGUGAUGCAUGGUUGGCUAUUCACGAAAACACCGGUAGCAAUGUGUUCUAUUGAGUGCGAUAUGUUUCUGUAUUCGCGCUCCACGUUAAGAUGAGUUUGGGUGAAACGUGUGUGACGAAUGCGAGCGGAAUGUCAGCACAAGUCGUUACGUUGGUAUACGAAAAUACAUAUAGAUGAAAUAGCA